UCGGCUAUAUCACGUGGAAACACCCGUUCUCAUAUGAUCACCAAAGUUAAGCAACGUUGAGCCUGAUCAGUACCUAGAUGGAUAACCGUUUGGCAUAUACCAGAUGCUGUAU